rnacentral:rRNA from 1 species
GAUGAACGCUGGCGGCGUGCCUAAUACAUGCAAGUCGAGCGACAAGGCGAGGAUCUGCCUCCUGUCACGUUGGCGGCGGGCGGGUGAUUAACCCGUGGAUACCCUACCUAGAAGGCUGGGAUAGCUUCGGGAAACCGGAGCUAGUACCGGAUAAUAUGUUGAACCGCAUGGUUCAUUAGUCAAAGCGGUUUUUGCUGUGACUUAUGGAGGGAUCCAAGCCGCAUUGGCUAGUUGGUAAGGUAACGGCUUACCAAGGCAACGAUGCGAAGCCGACCUGAGAGGAUGACCGGCCACACUGGAACUGAGACACGGCCCAGACUCCUACGGGAGGCAGCAGUGGGGAAUUUUCCGCAAUGGGCGAAAGCUUGACGCAGCAAUGCCGCGUGAGUGAUGAAGGUCUUCGGAUCGUAAAACACUGUUAGUGGGGACGAAAAAAUGUGUAAGUAAACAAGGACGCGUUGACGGUACCUAAAGAGAAAGCACCGGCUAACUACGUG